rnacentral:rRNA from 1 species
GAUGAACGCUAGCUACAGGCUUAACACAUGCAAGUCGAACGGAAGUAAGAGCUUCGGUUUUUACUUUAGUGGCGAACGGGUGAGUAACGCGUGAGGAACCUGCCUUUCAGUGGGGGACAACAGUUGGAAACGACUGCUAAUACCGCAUAAUGUUUCCGAUCCGCAUGGAUUGGAAACCAAAGCUUUAUGUGCUGAAAGAUGGCCUCGCGUCUGAUUAGAUAGUUGGUAGGGUAACGGCCUACCAAGUCAACGAUCAGUAGCCGGUCUGAGAGGAUGAACGGCCACAUUGGGACUGAGAUACGGCCCAG